rnacentral:rRNA from 1 species
UACGUAGGGUGCAAGCGUUGUCCGGAAUUAUUGGGCGUAAAGGAGCUCGUAGGCGGUUUGUCGCGUCUGACUGGUGAAAACCCCGAGGCUCAAACCUCGGGCCUGCAGUGGGUACGGGCAGACUAGAGUGCGGUAGGGGAGAUUGGAAUUCCUGGUGUAGCGGUGGAAUGCGCAGAUAUCGGGAGGAACACCUGUGGCGAAAGCGGCUCACUGGACCACACUGACGCUGAUGCGGCGAAAGCUAGGGGGAGCAAACAGG